CCUGCCCAAUGAUCUUAAACUUAAAAAAUAUAACUAUUUUUAAAAAGAUUUAAAGGACGCAGUAUCCUGACUGUGAUAAUGUAGCAUAAUCAUUCGCCAUUUAAUUGAUGGAUAGUAUGAAUGGUUGAACGAAUUCUUCACUGUCUUAAAAAAAGAAAUAAUGAAAUUUAAAUAAUAGUAAAGAUGCUAUUUAAAAUUGUAAGACGAAAAGACCCUAUAGAGCUUAACUAUAAGUUCUUUUAGUUAAAAGAACAUAAUUCUCAAAAUAAAGAACUUGGUAGUUUAGUUGGGGCGACUAUCUUCUAAUAUUAACGAAGACAAGCAAAAUUAAUAUAUAAUUUAUUGUAUAACCUAUAAGUUUAACAAUUACAAAAGUAGGCAUAAUGACCCGUUUUCAUUUAGUAAUUAAAGAAAACGAACAAUAAAUAAAAGCUACCUUAGGGAUAACAGGAUAAUUUUGUUUUAGAGAUCCUAUCGAAAACAAAGUUUGUCACCUCUAUGUUGAAUUAAGAUAUCCUAGUAAUGCAGAA
rnacentral:rRNA from 1 species